rnacentral:misc_RNA from 1 species
AAAAACGCCACUCAUUGUUCCCCAAAGAUCUGCAAAAACAGAAAGCUCUCAUUUUUUAUUUCUCUGCGACAAAGCUUUCCCUUUCUCUGAGUCAUGACGGACUCUACUGAGCCACCAUCCACGUCGGCCGCCGAACCCAAUCCAAACCCGCACCUCAAUCCCAAUUCCCUUAUCCACCCUCGCCGUGAGCCUUUCGAGCAUGGUCUCCUCCCAAUCCCCAAGCUCAUCUUCCCUGACCCGACUCAAACGCUCAUCCAACUCAGGCAGAAACUCGUUUCCCAUCCCCGUGUUGAUUAUGCCACCCUUGCUGACACCGUUCAGAUCUCCGUCGACCAUGCUAGGCUCGUUCUCGACACUCUCGCCUCUGUUCUCCACUCCGGGGCUGACCCGCUUGUGAAGGCCGAACCCGGAGAGAUUGAUUCCGUUGGGGCGGAUUUGCAUGAUCUGAUAUUAUUUUUGUAUAUACAAUCGUAUAAGAAGUUGUUGCCCAGGACACAUAAGGACUCUGCUGCCGUGGCCGAUGUCUGGCCCUCCACCUCAGCUUUCGAUGGGUACUUGUCGGCCUUAUCACCGCUUCAGCUUGUGCGCAGCAACAGUCGCCGGUUUAUGCCAUCACAGGCUGAUGAAGAGGCUCAUCAGUUAUCCUAUCUACAAAAGCACAUGGCUAACAUUCUCUCUCUUUUGGCAGAGCCUGUGGAAGGAGAAGGCGAAGAGUCUCUGGUUUUGACCAUGGAAGGUUUCGAGCACCUUGGGUUUCUGAUUCAAUUUGGUGAGAAAGGAUCUGAAGGAGUUUCAUUAAGUCAAGCUGCUCCAUUUUUUGCCAAUUCAGAUCCCGACAUGCCUGCUGUUCCUGUUCCUGCUGCACAAGUUCAUGAUUGGAUUUCACAGAAUAUAGCCUCUGCUUUGGAGCAUAUCACUGAAAGAAUUUCUGCAAAAGAAAAUGGGCCACCCAGUGUCUCUGAUCAGGACGUUGCCAUGGCUGAUGCCUGUACAAGUUCAAUCAAGACCUCACCAAGUGCUAGGGGAUCAAGUUUUAUUGAGGGGAUCUCUAAAUCUUCAUAUGUAAAGCAAGCAUCGGAUCUUAAAGGUUCUUCUGUAAAGGUUUUGAAUUGCCAUGAUUCUGUCAUUUACAUCUUGGCACCCUUGAGAUAUGCCACCGUCUAUGGAUGCUCUGACACUACAAUAGUUCUUGGAGCUGUAGGCAAGGCUGCAAGGAUUGAACAUUGUGAGCGAGUUCAUGUGAUUACAGCAGCAAAACGGGUCUGUAUUGCUAAUUGUCGUGAAUGUGUGUUCUUUCUGGGAGUAAACCAGAAACCACUCAUGGUUGGUGAUAACCAUAAGCUGCAGGUGGCACCUUACAAUACAUAUUACUCAGAGUUGGAGGAGCACAUGGCUAAAGUGGGCAUUGAGACAACUAUUAACAGAUGGGAUGAUCCCUUGGCCUUGGGAGUGAUCGACCCGCACGAUUCAUUAUCUCAUCCUGCAGGUGUCUCUGAUGUUCAAGCUGAGUCAGCUACACGCCUGGACCCUGAUCAAUUCACAAGUUUUCUGAUUCCAAACUGGUUUGGCAGUGAAUCUACUGGGUCAACAAAAGAUAACCCUUUUCCAUUACCAGAAGCUUACAUGUCAUCUCAGCAGAGAAAUCAAAAGAAUUUGUGGGAGAUAAAGCAAUUAUUGAGGGAAGCUCCUCUUGAAGAAAAUCGGAAGCGCGAACUAUCGUGUGCACUCCAUCUACUAUUCAAGGACUGGUUAUAUGCUUCAGGCAAUAUACGUCAGCUUUACUGCCUUCAAGGUGAUUGAUGUUGAAUAAUGAAUGUAUCGCAUAACCAAAGUUGGUAACAGAAGGCAGCUUUCUGGUACUUUUUCUGUUGCAGCUCCAAUUUUAUCAGUAGUAGAGGCAGCUGAGAAUCAUCCCUUUGUACUUUGGAAUCGAACACAUUUGUCCGAUGACAGUGGUGCACAGAAUACAUUGAUUACGCUAAUCUCAUUGUAAUAUUUUUUUUUUCCAAGGAAAAAUCUUGCUGUAAUAUUUAUUUACUUAGGUUUGCAAUCUUGUGAAUUUUUCCCUUUUUUUUUAAUUCAUUCCUUUUUAGUCUCCAUUCUAAAAUUUAAAUGCUGGAUUUUUUUAGUUCACCUUUCAAGUUUUGCCUAUGGGCUGGUUGUUAAUAUUCUGUCAUUCUCUGGCAUUAUUAUUAUUAUUAUUAUUAU